rnacentral:rRNA from 1 species
GACGAACGCUGGCGGCGUGCUUAACACAUGCAAGUCGAACGGAAAGGCCUCUUUCGGGGGGUACUCGAGUGGCGAACGGGUGAGUAACACGUGAGUAACCUGCCCUUGACUUUGGGAUAACUUCAGGAAACUGGGGCUAAUACCGGAUAGGAGCUCCUGCUGCAUGGUGGGGGUUGGAAAGUUUCGGCGGUUGGGGAUGGACUCGCGGCUUAUCAGCUUGUUGGUGGGGUAGUGGCUUACCAAGGCUUUGGCGGGUAGCCGGCCUGAGAGGGUGACCGGCCACAUUGGGACUGAGAUACGGCCCAGACUCCUACGGGAGGCAGCAGUGGGGAAUAUUGCACAAUGGGUGGAAGCCUGAUGCAGCAACGCCGUGUGCGGGAGGACGGCCUUCGGGUUGUAAACCGCUUUCGCUCAUGACGAAGCUUUGUGUGACGGUAGUGGGUAAAGAAGCACCGGCUAACUACGUA